rnacentral:lncRNA from 1 species
AUGAAGCAGCGGAUCCAAUUUCUCCGUACUCCGCCGGACUGUCAGUCAACUCUUUCAAGUGAGGUUUUUUGGAAAGGCGGCGUCUGGGGUUUAAGAGGCAAAAGCCAAAGCCAGAAAACGAAGAGAAGAAGCAGAUGCAGUCUGGAAUCUGAUGCUCACGGGACGAAGGAUGACGUCACAGCGUACCAGAAGUUAUGCCCUUCCGAGUAG